CAAUAGCGUAUGUUAAAGUUGUUGCGGCUAAAAGCUCGUAGUUGGAUUUCUGUUGAGGGCGUCUGGUCCGCUCUUUGAGCGUGUAUCAAGAUUGGCCUCGGCAUCCGCUCUGCACACGUGUUUGCGCUUAAGUGCGUACCACGGAGGUAGGGCCUUUUACUUUGAGGAAAUUAGAGUGUUCACGGCAGGCAGUCGCUUGAAUAUAUUAGCAUGGAAUAAUAACAUAGGAUCUUGGUUCUAUUUUGUUGGUUUCUAGGACUAAGAUAAUGAUUAAUAGGGACAAUUGGGGGCAUUCGUAUUGUGGUGUCAGAGGUGGAAUUCUUGGAUUACUGCACGACGAACUACUGCGAAAGCAUUUGCCAAGGAUGUUUUCAUUGAUCAAGAACGAAAGUAAGGGGAUCGAAGACGAUCAGAUACCAU
rnacentral:rRNA from 1 species